GACGAACGCUGGCGGCAUGCCUAAUACAUGCAAGUCGAGCGGACUUGAUGGAGAAGCUUGCUUCUUCUGAAGGUUAGCGGCGGACGGGUGAGUAACACGUAGGCAACCUGCCUUUCAGUUUGGGAUAACUUCCGGAAACGGAUGCUAAUACCGAAUACAUCAUCUUCUGGCAUCAGAGGAUGAGGAAAGACGGCGCAAGCUGUCACUGAGAGAUGGGCCUGCGGCGCAUUAGCUAGUUGGUGGGGUAAUGGCUCACCAAGGCGACGAUGCGUAGCCGGCCUGAGAGGGUGAACGGCCACACUGGGACUGAGACACGGCCCAGACUCCUACGGGAGGCAGCAGUAGGGAAUCUUCCACAAUGGGCGAAAGCCUGAUGGAGCAAUGCCGCGUGAGUGAUGAAGGUUUUCGGAUCGUAAAGCUCUGUUGCCAGGGAAGAACGUGCAGGUGAGUAACUGCACCUGGAGUGACGGUACCUGAGAAGAAAGCCCCGGCUAACUACGUGCCAGCAGCCGCAGUAA
rnacentral:rRNA from 1 species